rnacentral:rRNA from 1 species
GGGAACAUACCCUUUUCUACGGAAUAGCUCUGGGAAACUGGAAUUAAUACCGUAUACGCCCUACGGGGGAAAGAUUUAUCGGGGAAGGAUUGGCCCGCGUUGGAUUAGCUAGUUGGUGGGGUAAAGGCCUACCAAGGCGACGAUCCAUAGCUGGUCUGAGAGGAUGAUCAGCCACAUUGGGACUGAGACACGGCCCAAACUCCUACGGGAGGCAGCAGUGGGGAAUAUUGGACAAUGGGCGCAAGCCUGAUCCAGCCAUGCCGCGUGAGUGAUGAAGGCCUUAGGGUUGUAAAGCUCUUUCACCGAUGAAGAUAAUGACGGUAGUCGGAGAAGAAGCCCCGGCUAACUUCGUGCCAGCAGCCGCGGUAAUACGAAGGGGGCUAGCGUUGUUCGGAAUUACUGGGCGUAAAGCGCACGUAGGCGGAUAUUUAAGUCAGGGGUGAAAUCCCAGAGCUCAACUCUGGGACUGCCUUUGAUACUGGGUAUCUUGAGUAUGGAAGAGGUAAGUGGAAUUGCGAGU